rnacentral:rRNA from 1 species
UACGUAGGGGGCAAGCGUUGUCCGGAUUUAUUGGGCGUAAAGAGCGUGUAGGCGGCCAGGUAGGUCUGCUGUGAAAACUCGAGGCUCAACCUCGAGACGCCGGCGGAAACCAUCUGGCUAGAGUCCGGAAGAGGAGAGUGGAAUUCCUGGUGUAGCGGUGAAAUGCGCAGAUAUCAGGAAGAACACCCGUGGCGAAGGCGGCUCUCUGGGCCGAUACUGACGCUGAGGAGCGAAAGCGUGGGGAGCGAACAGG